rnacentral:rRNA from 1 species
AAUUAAUUUUGGGUGUAGAAGUUCAAAGUUUUAGUCUGUUCGACUAUUAAAAUUUUACAUGAUCUGAGUUCAAACCGGUGUAAGCCAGGUUGGUUUCUAUCUUUAAUUAAUUAAUAUAUUUUAGUACGAAAGGACCAAAUAUUUAAUAUGUAAUAUUUUUAAAUUUGAAUGAAAUU